rnacentral:rRNA from 1 species
CGAGGGGUGCUAAGCGUUGCUCGGAAUCAUUGGGCGUAAAGGGUAGGUAGGUGGUCUCAUUUGUCUGGGGUGAAAGCCUUGAGCUUAACUCAAGAAGUGCCCCGGAAACGGUGAGACUAGAGUACUGGAGAGGGUCGUGGAAUUCCCGGUGUAGCGGUGAAAUGCGUAGAGAUCGGGAGGAACACCAGAGGCGAAGGCGGCGACCUGGACAGUAACUGACACUCAACUACGAAAGCGUGGGUAGCAAACAGGAUUAGAUACCCUGGUAGUCCACGCCGUAAACGAUGAGUACUAGGCUUGGCGGGUCUUGACCCCUGCUGAGCCGGCGCUAACGCAAUAAGUACUCCGCCUGGGAAGUACGGUCGCAAGACUA